rnacentral:rRNA from 1 species
UCGGGAAUUUUGGGCAAUGGGCGAAAGCCUGACCCAGCAACGCCGCGUGAGGGAUGAAGGCCCUCGGGUCGUAAACCUCUGUCGGGAGGGAAGAACGGUAGCCUUUCGAACAGGUAGGCUGCCUGACGGUACCUCCAAAGGAAGCACCGGCUAACUCCGUGCCAGCAGCCGCGGUAAUACGGAGGGUGCGAGCGUUGUUCGGAAUCAUUGGGCGUAAAGCGCGUGUAGGCGGCUUGGCAAGUCGGUUGUGAAAUCCCGGGGCCCAACCCCGGAACUGCAAUCGAAACUGCCUCGCUAGAGUCCCGGAGGGGAAGGCGGAAUUCCCGGUGUAGAGGUGAAAUUCGUAGAUAUCGGGAGGAACACCAGUGGCGAAGGCGGCCUUCUGGACGGUGACUGACGCUGAGACGCGAAAGCGUGGGGAGCAAACAGGAUUAGAUACCCCCGUAGUCC